GGACGAACGCUGGCGGCGCGCCUAACACAUGCAAGUCGAACGAGAGAGAGGGAGCUUGCUUCCUCAAUCGAGUGGCGAACGGGUGAGUAACGCGUGAGGAACCUGCCUCAAAGAGGGGGACAACAGUUGGAAACGACUGCUAAUACCGCAUAAGCCCACAGCUCGGCAUCGAGCAGAGGGAAAAGGAGCAAUCCGCUUUGAGAUGGCCUCGCGUCCGAUUAGCUAGUUGGUGAGGUAAUGGCCCACCAAGGCGACGAUCGGUAGCCGGACUGAGAGGUUGAACGGCCACAUUGGGACUGAGACACGGCCCAGACUCCUACGGGAGGCAGCAGUGGGGAAUAUUGCACAAUGGGGGAAACCCUGAUGCAGCGACGCCGCGUGGAGGAAGAAGGUCUUCGGGUUGUAAACUCCUGUUGUUGAGGAAGAUAAUGACGGUACUCAACAAGGAAGUGACGGCUAACUACGUGCCAGCAGCCGCGGUAAAACGUAGGUCACAAGCGUUGUCCGGAAUUACUGGGUGUAAAGGGAGCGCAGGCGGGAAGACAAGUUGGAAGUGAAAUCUAUGGGCUCAACCCAUAAACUGCUUUCAAAACUGUUUUUCUUGAGUAGUGCAGAGGUAGGCGGAAUUCCCGGUGUAGCGGUGGAAUGCGUAGAUAUCGGGAGGAACACCAGUGGCGAAGGCGGCCUACUGGGCACCAACUGACGCUGAGGCUCGAAAGUGUGGGUAGCAACAGGAUUAGAUACCCUGGUAGUCCACACCGUAAACGAUGAUUACUAGGUGUUGGAGGAUUGACCCCUUCAGUGCCGCAGUUAACACAAUAAGUAAUCCACCUGGGGAGUACGACCGCAAGGUUGAAACUCAAAGGAAUUGACGGGGGCCCGCACAAGCAGUGGAGUAUGUGGUUUAAUUCGACGCAACGCGAAGAACCUUACCAAGUCUUGACAUCCUGCGACGCACAUAGAAAUAUGUGUUUCCUUCGGGACGCAGAGACAGGUGGUGCAUGGUUGUCGUCAGCUCGUGUCGUGAGAUGUUGGGUUAAGUCCCGCAACGAGCGCAACCCUUACUGUCAGUUACUACGCAAGAGGACUCUGGCAGGACUGCCGUUGACGAAACGGAGGAAGGUGGGGAUGACGUCAAAUCAUCAUGCCCUUUAUGACUUGGGCUACACACGUACUACAAUGGCGUUAAACAAAGAGAAGCAAGACCGCGAGGUGGAGCAAAACUCAGAAACAACGUCCCAGUUCGGACUGCAGGCUGCAACUCGCCUGCACGAAGUCGGAAUUGCUAGUAAUCGUGGAUCAGCAUGCCACGGUGAGUAAGUUCCCGGGCCUUGUACACACCGCCCGUC
rnacentral:rRNA from 1 species